UAGAUCUAUCUAAUCACUGUUCUGGCAAUCUACCUUCGUAGUCUGGGCAUAUAACCCAUAACAUAGGCUCACGAGUGGCUUCGGGAACUCUCCAUUUACGUCGACUCCAGCUCCUCCACUAUUUGCGAUCUCCGAUCAACGUCAACCUCCAUAGAAACUGAGUUGGAUGCCAUCAUUCUGUACGUUUCCUUCUAUAAUCUAUUCCCUCAAUUACGGGCUGCUUAAUGGCAAGUUCGAUUUGCUGGUCUGAGACCUCGAUGAUCGAUUGGACCGGUUUCAAGUACCGUUCGAAAGCCUUCUUUAUCAUUACAGCCUUGACAUUGGCCCUCAGUCUUUGUCUCUCCCUCUGCUUCGCACAGGUAGGUUCUCCAUCGAAUUGGACAGAGUGAUAAAGAAAGUGAGAGAUUGCUGGCACCCAUAGAGAAAGUGAUAUUUCAGAAAUUGGGCUCAUUUGGUCAAAUUGGAAUAUCCGAUUGAGCUGGCAUCCUUUUGAUCAAAUCGGGGGAUUCGUUUGAGCAAUCCGAGAUCUUUGAUGGAUUGAGCUCCAGAUAAGCUUCUUAUUUGGUUGAUUGGUUUUGAAUUUCAGUGCAUGCAGUUUUGGGUGGUGCAAAUGAAUUUGGGAUGUUCAAUUUUGUUUAGAUUAGCCCUGUUUUCUUCAUACUUAUGCAGAUAGUUUUAAAAAUUCCAGGUUUGGCCGAAAAUCUCCCAACUGCUGGUAUCUAUUGGGUCUCCAGUUGAUGUGCAAAUCUGAUAUAAGGAGCAUAAAGGUGAGGCUAGGGGCAAUUAAGAAGAAGAGGAACGCUGUACUGAAUACAUGCUGCUCAUCUUCUCAAGAUUGGCCUUGAUAUUAAUGUAUAUAGAAGGGUGGAGCUGGGAGUAGCACAGCAGGUCGAAAAGGCAUGGCUGAUGCUCUAGCAGAUAUGAAAAAAGAUGGUGCUUCACCUUCUGAAGGCCAUCCUACAGUUAACCUAAAGAACAAACCUACUAAAGAUGUCCACAAACAUCCAGACACAUCAAAACCAGCGUGGCUUUUGGCUUUGGAAGUAGUGACAAGAACCAAUUAAUGCAGUUAUACUACCCGCAGCAAAGCGCAGGCUCUCAAAGUGUUUGAACUGAAGCUGAAGCUUCAGCCUUUGGUGUCGAGGUCCAUCACGGGGGGGGGGGGGGGGUGAGUUGCCAUCGGAGGCUUGAUCGUGGAUACCAAGGUGUUCUGCUGGCCUAGAAAGUGCACCUAGCUUUGCUGAUUCAAGGACAUGAGUAGGAAAAGGAGCUUUUCUUCAGCUUCAGAAGGCCUUUGCUUGGAUUUGGCGAUACUUUAGUUUUAAUUUUAUAUUGGAUUGGGGUGAGAACAAUAUUGCCAUUGCUGCUGCAACUACUGCUCCUGGGGCGUUGUUUCAGCAAGUUGUUGUUGUUUGGCAUAAGCUUGACCAUCCAGAUAUUUCGAAGUUAAAAGUUAUAUCUAUUGAAUUUUCAUAUCAGAAUGUAUGAUGCAAUGUCAUAUAACAGCACACACCCUUUCAGUUUCUAACACAUAAAUGUGAUGCAUUUUUCAUAUGACUAAA